rnacentral:ncRNA from 1 species
UUGAGCCGUAUGAUUGGUAACAGUCAAGUCCGGUUCUUAGGGGAGUGCGGGGUGGCAACACCCCAAUCUUACCCGAC